GCACACAAGAGUUACUUUUACACUUACAUGACUAAAUUCAAUGUAUGAAAAUACAUGUACAGUUAUAGCUCGAUGUAUAUAUAGAACACAAGAGUUACUUUUACAUGUACAGUUAUUACCAAUGUGUUUUCAACUGAUUGGGCGGAGCUUACGUUUCAAUAUGCAUAAGGAAAGUCUAAUUGAAGAUGUGUGUGAUAAGGAUGAUUGCCGUUAUAAUUUAUAUUACUGAUUUCUAAUCACCUAUCAGUGUAAAAAUAUUAUAGAAUAAUGUUAUAUUCAGAUUUUACAACUGCUGUCGUUAUGGUUUUACUUUCAUAUCCACAAAUUCUAAAAUGUGAAAAUUUUUACUUGUUUUUAAACUUCGCUUUUCAAGAAAAUUAACGGUUGCAUCUCAUUAUUUAUUUUGCAAAUAAACAUAUAGUGUUUACAUAUUUUAACCGGAUCAAUGACCAUAACUGAACACUUCAUUGAUGAGUUUAUCCCAAAACAUCUGUCUAUAGAUGGACUGGUCUAUAAUGAGCCAACCGGUUAAACUCCGCCCAGUCAAGUGAAAUAAAUCAAGUUAUAUAGCUCAAUGAAUAGCACACAAGAGUUACUGUUACACAAAAUUAAAAGUAAUAAACACAUGUACAUGUAUGGCUCAAUAUAUAGCACACACAAGUUAUUUCUACACUUAACUUAUGAAAAUACAUGUUUGGCUCAAUGUAUAGCACACAAGAGUUUCUGUUACACUAAAUGAAAAGUAAGUUAAUAUAUGUAUAAGUAUGGCUUAAUAAAUAGCACACAAACUUUACUUUUAAACUUCAAU
rnacentral:lncRNA from 1 species